GGUGGGCUAAUCUUCUAAUGUUUUGCCCCCAGCAAUUGAUUCCUCACAAAAUUUACGUCCCUGUUUUGCCUCCUACUCACGCUAAUUCAUGUGGAGCUAGCAACUUAAAUUGGGAAUGGAACAAUUCGUAAGUGCCAUUAAUUACAGUUUGUACGUACAGUUUUGCUUCUUCAUUUUCCUAUGUGAUAACUUUACCUCAGCUCAUUGAUUUCAGGCGCUCUUUAAAAUUAUAACAAGAGGAUAUAGAAUGAGGUAUAUGUGAUAUUUCAGUUUUUGUUCUUUCAAUUGUUUUCGUCUUACCUCUAAUUUAUUUCUUUAUUCUAUAUCUCCUUUUAUUUCCUCGUUGAACUUGAACCACAUGUGGACCAGUAUGUGCACGCCUCAUUGCAUUGAUAUUUGUAAUAGGGAGAUAUUGUCCCUCUUGCAUUGUAACAAAUAAAUCAUGGUAUCUAUGUUUGGCUCACAGCUCACCUACCUUUGAUUGUACACGUGGUAUUUUUUUGGAAAUGUGUUGUAUAAUACACUAAUGCUUUUCACAAUUUUUGUUUUAGUGAGUAACUACAUAUUUGGUAGCUAGAUUGUCCACUUCCGACAAUUGGAUAUUAGACGUCUAAUUGUACGCGCACUCCAGACCAUUCUAUAAACCAGGUAUGCCUAAUAUUUGUUUGAAAUGACUACAUGGUUGUGUCCAUGGAGCCAUGUGCUACUUUCUAGUGCGGGGUAAUAAGCCGGUAUGUAACAAUACCCUUGAUGUUGCAUGCUAUUUGGGCACUAUGUGUGUCACAUGGCUUGGUUUAAGCAUUCAGUAUUACAUAGGCAUUGCCUUGGUUAUCGAAAAUAGUUUAGAUGUAUCAUCGUUUGCUUAAAUUUGGCUAGAGUUGAGAUGAAAUCUCCUAGCUAUGAGAUAACAUAGUAUACAGAGUUGUCUGCACUAGAUUAGAUAGGGUGGUGAUCUACUUUUCUUUCUGUUCAGGAUUUCAGUUUGGUUGCAUCUUGCCAUGUCUUAUUGGAGAGAACAUGUAGCCAUCAGUUGAUAACUCAAAUUAUCCCGAAUAUGGUGAUGCUUUUUUUGUGUUGUUGCUUCUGCGGGUUUUGAGAAUUUUAUUCAUGGAUCAGGAAAUUAUAAUUUGUGACUUUGUAAUUUUCAGGUAAUUACGAAAUUUUGCAUGAUGCAGAUUAUUUAAAGAUUUUCAAGUUGUUGGCAAUGAGAUUUCUUCUUAUACACCAUAGAAAGAAUGGCUAAUGAAUCAUCCCAAGAUGAGUAGUACGGGAGUAAUGUGCAGACCUCUUGACAAUGGAGAUGUUCCAUUUUGUAAUAGUUGAUACUAUUGGUUGUCAUUAUUCAGUUGCUGAAGUCAUCUCGUAGUUAUUAUAAUAUAUUGUUUGGAUAUUUUUUAGUAGUAAAUACAAGCUGAUAGUUAUUCAUAAUGAACAGCCAGAUCUGAUUCAUCAAAGGUGUCUAUUUUUCUAUGCAGAUUUUUAUCUCAAUGAGCCAUGGAUAUUCAAAACAUGUGCAGACAUUUCUAUGGUGCUCAUUUAAAUUUUACUUCUCUAUUAGCCGGAUUUUCUCUAUUAUAAGUUACUCAUCUCAUAUUGUUGUUGUUGUAGGUCACCAAGAUAAAAUGAUGAUGCAUGGCUCAGAUGUUGAUUGCAAGGUUAAGAAUUGGAGCUACUACAAGAUAAUUAGAAUUCCAAUUUUAGGAUUAAUGUUUCAAACAUUAUAGUUGAUUGCAAGGUCAAGAAUUGGGCCACUACAAGAUAUAGUUUAACCUACUGUAAUCUUUGGAUCAUGUUUUUUGUAAUGCAACAUAGUGAUAUAAUAUAUGAUAUCUUUCUGUUUGUUAUAUUCUGGCUCCUAUGCAGUACUGGCAUUGACCUAAUAAUUAUGGACAGCAAUAUAUAAAAUAUAAUCAAUUGUUC
rnacentral:lncRNA from 1 species